AUGCGGCAGCUGUACCAAAACAACACACUUCCUUGGCUGUUGAUAGGGGAUCUAAAUGAGAUCCAAUAUUUGCAUGAGAAGGAAGGAGGAAACCCAAGGCCGCAACAGUACAUGACAGCUUUCCAACAAGCAACGGAAGAUUGUGAGCUACAGGACAUGGGGUAUAUAGGCGACAUAUUUACUUGGAGAAGGGGUCGUAUUCGAGAAAGACUGGACAGAGGGAUGGUGAAUGAUGAGUGGAGAAAUAUAUUUCCUAAUGCUGCCAUAGAGCAUGGCAAUUUUAACCACUCAGACCACAGGCCUUUAGUAGUGGAUACAGAAUAUUAUCUGAGAUCGAUCCCUAACCAGGGAGGACCAAAGAGAUUUGAAGCCCGGUGGCUUAGAGAGGAUCAAUUUUCAGAGUUGGUACAAACCUCAUGGGAUAAUGUGAAAAAUGAUACUUUGGUGCCAGGUAUUUUUCAGAAGCUGUCACGCAUGCACUCGGUCUUCUAUGACCGGGACCAACGAGUCCUAAAGAAACCAGAAAAGAGGUUGAAGAAGGCACAAAGGGAGUUGGAGGAGGCAAUGUCGGGUCCCAUGACUGAUGAGAAUGAAUUAAAGAGGAAGGAACUAGCUGAAUUAGUGGAAUAUUUGCUCGAAUUGGAAGAGAUCCAGACUAUCCAAUGUUCAAGAGUUGACUGGUUAAAGUUUGGAGACCGGAAUACGGCUUUCUUCCAGGCUUUUGCAGCGGCAAGACAGAAGAAGAAUUAUAUUAAAAACUGA
rnacentral:rRNA from 1 species